rnacentral:rRNA from 1 species
UGGGGAAUAUUGGACAAUGGGCGAAAGCCUGAUCCAGCAACGCCGCGUGAGGGAUGACGGCCUUCGGGUUGUAAACCUCUUUCAGCAGGGACGAAGCGCAAGUGACGGUACCUGCAGAAGAAGCACCGGCCAACUACGUGCCAGCAGCCGCGGUAAUACGUAGGGUGCGAGCGUUGUCCGGAAUUAUUGGGCGUAAAGGGCUCGUAGGCGGUCUGUCACGUCGGGAGUGAAAACUCGGGGCUUAACCCCGAGCCUGCUUCCGAUACGGGCAGACUAGAGGUAUGCAGGGGAGAACGGAAUUCCUGGUGUAGCGGUGAAAUGCGCAGAUAUCAGGAGGAACACCGGUGGCGAAGGCGGUUCUCUGGGCAUUACCUGACGCUGAGGAGCGAAAGUGUGGGGA